rnacentral:rRNA from 1 species
AACGAACGCUGGCGGCGGGCCUAAUACAUGCAAGUCGAACGAGAAAGCUCUUCGGAGUGAGUAGAGUGGCGCACGGGUGAGUAACACGUAGGUGAUCUACCUUUUAGUGGGGAACAACAGGGAGAAAUUCCUGCUAAUACCGCAUAAGUUGACUAACUUUGGAAGGAAGUCAAGAAAGAGGGCCUCGGCUCUCGCUGAAAGAUGAGCCUGCGGGACAUUAGCUUGAUGGUGGGGUAACGGCCUACCAUGGCGACGAUGUCUAGCUGGUCUGAGAGGAUGAUCAGCCACACUGGAACUGAGGCACGGUCCAG